rnacentral:tRNA from 1 species
GCCUGGGUGGCUCAGUCGGUCGAGCGGCUGACUUCGGCUCAGGUCAUGAUCUCGCAGUCUGUGAGUUCGAGCCCCGCAUCAGGCU